rnacentral:rRNA from 1 species
CGCUCCUUGUUAUUAAAUAUAUAGGGAGUCGUACCUGCCCAGUGAAAAAUUUUAAACGGCCGCAGUACCCUGACUGUGCUAAGGUAGCAUAAUCAUUUGCCUUUUAAUUGAAGGCUGGAAUGAAUGGUUUGACGAAAAUUUAACUGUCUCUAUUAUAUUAUCUAGAAAUUAUUUUUUAGGUGAAGAAACCUAAGUUUAAUUGAAAGACGAAAAGACCCUGUCGAGCUUAAAAAUUUAUGAUAAAUUAUUUGACUUUUUAGUAUAAAGAUUUUUAUUAUAAAUUCUUUUGUUGGGGUGACAGAAGAACAUUUUUAGCUUCUUUUUAUUAUUGAAACUAAUAGGUUUUUUAGAUCUGCUUGAUUGUAAAUUAAGAUAAGUUACCGCAGGGAUAACAGCGUUAUUUUUCUGAAAAGCUCAAAUUGAAGGAAAAGUUUGCGACCUCGAUGUUGGAUUAGAAUACCGGGUAGGGGCAGAAGCUUAUUUUCGGAGGUCUGUUCGACCUUUAAAUUUCUACA